rnacentral:rRNA from 3 species
AUUGCCCUAGUAACGGCGAGUGAAGCGGCAACAGCUCAAAUUUGAAAUCUGGCUUCGGCCCGAGUUGUAAUUUGUAGAGGAAGCUUUUGGUGAGGCACCUUCUGAGUCCCCUGGAACGGGGCGCCAUAGAGGGUGAGAGCCCCGUAUAGUCGGAUGCCGAUCCAAUGUAAAGCUCCUUCGACGAGUCGAGUAGUUUGGGAAUGCUGCUCAAAAUGGGAGGUAAAUUUCUUCUAAAGCUAAAUACCGGCCAGAGACCGAUAGCGCACAAGUAGAGUGAUCGAAAGAUGAAAAGCACUUUGAAAAGAGGGUUAAAUAGCACGUGAAAUUGUUGAAAGGGAAGCGUUUGUGACCAGACUUGCGCCGUUCCGAUCAUCCGGUGUUCUCACCGGUGCACUCGGGGCGGCUCAGGCCAGCAUCGGUUUUGGUGGGGGGAUAAAGGUUCGGGGAACGUAGCUCCUCCGGGAGUGUUAUAGCCCCGGGCGUAAUGCCCUCGCCGGGACCGAGGUUCGCGCAUCUGCAAGGAUGCUGGCGUAAUGGUCAUCAACGACCCGUCUUGAAACACGGACCAAGGAGUCAAGGUUUUGCGCGAGUGUUUGGGUGUAAAACCCGCACGCGUAAUGAAAGUGAACGUAGGUGAGAGCUUCGGCGCAUCAUCGACCGAUCCUGAUGUAUUCGGAUGGAUUUGAGUAAGAGCGUUAAGCCUUGGACCCGAAAGAUGGUGAACUAUGCUUGGAUAGGGUGAAGCCAGAGGAAACUCUGGUGGAGGCUCGCAGCGGUUCUGACGUGCAAAUCGAUCGUCAAAUCUGAGCAUGGGGGCGAAAGACUA